rnacentral:rRNA from 1 species
GCAGUCGAACGGUAGCACAGAGGAGCUUGCUCCUUGGGUGACGAGUGGCGGACGGGUGAGUAAUGUCUGGGAAACUGCCCGAUGGAGGGGGAUAACUACUGGAAACGGUAGCUAAUACCGCAUAACGUCGCAAGACCAAAGAGGGGGACCUUCGGGCCUCUUGCCAUCGGAUGUGCCCAGAUGGGAUUAGCUAGUAGGUGGGGUAACGGCUCACCUAGGCGACGAUCCCUAGCUGGUCUGAGAGGAUGACCAGCCACACUGGAACUGAGACACGGUCCAGACUCCUACGGGAGGCAGCAGUGGGGAAUAUUGCACAAUGGGCGCAAGCCUGAUGCAGCCAUGCCGCGUGUAUGAAGAAGGCCUUCGGGUUGUAAAGUACUUUCAGCGAGGAGGAAGGCGUUGUGGUUAAUAACCGCAGCGAUUGACGUUACUCGCAGAAGAAGCACCGGCUAACUCCGUGCCAGCAGCCGCGGUAAUACGGAGGGUGCAAGCGUUAAUCGGAAUUACUGGGCGUAAAGCGCACGCAGGCGGUCUGUCAAGUCGGAUGUGAAAUCCCCGGGCUCAACCUGGGAACUGCAUCCGAAACUGGCAGGCUAGAGUCUUGUAGAGGGGGGUAGAAUUCCAGGUGUAGCGGUGAAAUGCGUAGAGAUCUGGA